rnacentral:rRNA from 1 species
UGUGAUGGCGUACCUUUUGUAUAAUGGGUCAGCGACUUACUUUUAGUAGCAAGGUUAACCGUUUAGGGGAGCCGUAGAGAAAUCGAGUCUUAAUAGGGCGUUUAGUUGCUAGGAGUAGACCCGAAACCGGGCGAUCUAUCCAUGGCCAGGUUGAAGAUGCCGUAACAGGCAUUGGAGGACCGAACCCACAAAUUUGAAAAAUUUGGGGAUGAGUUGUGGAUCGGAGUGAAAGGCUAAUCAAGCCGGGAGAUAGCUGGUUCUCCUCGAAAUCUAUUUAGGUAGAGCGUCAAUCGAAUACUCCGGGGGGUAGAGCACUGGAUGGGCUAUGGGGUCCCAACGACUUACUGAUCCUAACCAAACUCCGAAUACCCGGAAGUAAUAAUUGGCAGACACACUGCGGGUGCUAACGUCCGUAGUGGAGAGGGCAACAACCCUGACCUCCAGUUAAGGUCCCCAAGUCAUGGCUAAGUGGGAAAGGAUGUGAGAAUCCCAAAACAACCAGGAUGUUGGCUUAGAAGCAGCCAUCAUUUAAAGAAAGCGUAACAGCUCACUGGUCUAAAUAAGGGUUCUUGCGCCGAAAAUGUAACGGGGCUAAAGCCAUGCACCGAAACUGAGGGCACUAUUUAUAGUGCGGUAGCAGAGCGUUCUGUAAGCCUGCGAA